ACUCCUACGGGAGGCAGCAGUGGGGAAUUUUGCGCAAUGGGCGAAAGCCUGACGCAGCAACGCCGCGUGAGUGAUGAAGGCUUUCGGGUCGUAAAGCUCUGUCAAUGGGAAAGAAGUGUAUUUGGGCUAAUAUCCCUGAUACUUGGCGGUACCCAUAAAGGAAGCACCGGCUAACUCCGUGCCAGCAGCCGCGGUAAUACGGGGGGUGCAAGCGUUGUUCGGAAUUAUUGGGCGUAAAGCGCGUGUAGGCGGUUUGAUUAGUCUGAUGUGAAAGCCCUGGGCUCAACCCAGGAAGUGCAUUGGAUACUGUCAGACUUGAAUACGGGAGAGGGUAGUGGAAUUCCUAGUGUAGGAGUGAAAUCCGUAGAUAUUAGGAGGAACACCGGUGGCGAAGGCGGCUGCCUGGACCGAUAUUGACGCUGAGACGCGAAAGCGUGGGUAGCAAACAGGAUUAGAUACCCUGGUAGUCCACGCCGUAAACGAUGAGAACUAGGUGUUGCGGGUA
rnacentral:rRNA from 1 species